GAUGAAGAACGUAGCGAAAUGCGAUAAGUAAUGUGAAUUGCAGAAUUCAGUGAAUCAUCGAAUCUUUGAACGCACCUUGCGCCCUUUGGACAUUCCGAAGGGCAUGCCUGUUUGAGUAUCAUGAACACCUCAACUCUCACGGCUUGUCCGUGAUGAGCUUGGACUUUGGGGGUCUUGCCGGCCUGUGGUCGGCUCCUCUCAAAUGGAUCAGCUUGCCAGUUUUUGGUGGCAUCACAGGUGUGAUAACUAUCUGCGCUUGUGGUUUUCCAUCAGAUAACCUUCAGUGAUAUGGAGGUUCGCUGGAGCUCACAAAUGUCUCUCCUUAGUGAGGACAGCUCUUUGAACGUUUGAUCUCAAAUCAGGUAGGACUACCCGCUGAACUUAAGCAUAUCAAUAAGCGGAGGA
rnacentral:misc_RNA from 1 species